rnacentral:lncRNA from 1 species
UUGAAUCAAAAGUUGACUAGUUCAGUUGCCUUAUCACACUAAUUCAUGACCAAUUCAGUAAUCAAAUCACAGCAGAGGAUUCAAAAGUGUUUGGAUCAAUAAUUUUGCACUGUGAGCAAGUUUAUUUAACCAAAAAUGACAUGUUCAACUGGUCAGCAGAGUCUAAAAGCUAUCCAAUCACAAUUUCACUAUGUGAGUUGCUCAUAUUAGUCAAAAUUGAUCCAAUACACCAACCAAAUUUCAGCAGAAGUUUCA